GAAAAAAACCCCUAUCUUACUAGGCCACUCGGAGGAAGGGCUCAGCAGCCGACCUGAGGUAAGCCAGUGUGUGGGGAGACUUGGCUUGAGUGAGCACAGUAAGGCCUGAGGUCUCGGGUGGCGGAACUGAAAGACGCAUCGUCUACCCUGCUCCUGACCAAAGACGUGUUGUGGUCAACCUCCCAGCCCACCCCAAGACAAAUUUGGGUUGAAGCACUCAGAGCUGGGAACACUGACACAACACUGUUACCUGCCCAACCCAUGGAUGGGCCAGCUGUCACGACGGGAACUGUCCUGCUGGAAGUGUCCACAGGGUCGCAGCACUUGUGAAGGGGGUCGGAUGCACGAAAGAGUUGUGAUUUACGAGGGAUGCAAGGAAGCGAGAGAGAAAAAGCAAAAGGAUGAAAGGCUCGCAAGUGGAUCGGGCGGCACCCACCAAAGCUUACUGAAAUGGCAGAUUAUUUUUGUCCGCACAGAGAGGGUGCCAUCUGGAAAUCCCAUGCCAACUAUGCUAAGGUUACCCUGAGUUAGUAAGCCACCCAGACAGGAAGUGGCUUUUGAUUCCAAGUUUAGUGCUCUUUGCACCAAACCACAGGCCUCGCCAGUACAUUACAAAACAAGAAAGGGAGUAAAACAUUUAUCCGACAACGUUUUUUGCCCCACACACCCCUGGCCAUGGGGGGGGGGGCGUCCCAACACUGACGAGGCACUUCGUGUUCAGCAAGUCUUUGGGCCGAAAAGCUAUAAAGUACAUACGGUAUCUGAUUUUCAGAUGUUUGUGUUCUCCUCUUUAUCUAUUUUUGAAAACGAAAGGUGGCUGGCUCAGCUGGGGGUUAUAAUGCAGCGACCUGAGCCGGGCACAAGGCCUGGCGGGUGAUCAGACCGGGAACGCGUCCCUGGUGCAUACCACCACCAAAGACCGACUCUGACUCACAGGCCUGACCUUCAAACUGCAUGCCGGGAAAACCAAACACCAUCCUCGUUCGUUACAGAAACCGGGUAGGGAUUUUUUGGACUCU
rnacentral:lncRNA from 1 species